rnacentral:rRNA from 1 species
AGAGUUUGAUCAUGGCUCAGAUUGAACGCUGGCGGCAUGCCUUACACAUGCAAGUCGAACGCGAAAGUGGGGGCAACCCUGCGAGUAGAGUGGCGAACGGGUGAGUAACACAUCGGAACGUACCCAGGAGUGGGGGACAACCUCGAGAAAUCGAGGCUAAUACCGCAUACGUCCUGAGGGAGAAAGCGGGGGACUCGCAAGAGCCUCGCGCUCAUGGAGCGGCCGAUGUCGGAUUAGCUAGUUGGCGGGGUAAAGGCCCACCAAGGCUACGAUCCGUAGCUGGUUUGAGAGAACGACCAGCCACACUGGGACUGAGACACGGCCCAGACUCCUACGGGAGGCAGCAGUGGGGAAUUUUGGACAAUGGGGGCAACCCUGAUCCAGCCAUGCCGCGUGAGUGAAGAAGGCCUUCGGGUUGUAAAGCUCUUUCGGCCGGAACGAAAUCGCGUACGUGAACAACGUGCGUGGAUGACGGUACUGGAAGAAGAAGCACCGGCUAACUACGUGCCAGCAGCCGCGGUAAUACGUAGGGUGCGAGCGUUAAUCGGAAUUACUGGGCGUAAAGCGUGCGUAGGCGGUUUUGUAAGUCAGAUGUGAAAUCCCCGGGCUUAACCUGGGAACUGCGUUUGAAACUACAGAGCUAGAGUACGGCAGAGGGGGGUGGAAUUCCCGUGUAGCAGUGAAAUGCGUAGAUAUGUGGAGGAACACCGAUGGCGAAGGCAACCCCCUGGGCCGAUACUGACGCUGAGGCACGAAAGCGUGGGGAGCAAACAGGAUUAGAUACCCUAGUAGUCC